rnacentral:piRNA from 1 species
UCUUACCUAAACAGGUGCUGGGUACAUU